rnacentral:rRNA from 1 species
CCUACGGGUGGCAGCAGUGGGGAAUAUUGCACAAUGGGGGAAACCCUGAUGCAGCGACGCCGCGUGAGCGAUGAAGUAUUUCGGUAUGUAAAGCUCUAUCAGCAGGGAAGAAAAUGACGGUACCUGACUAAGAAGCCCCGGCUAACUACGUGCCAGCAGCCGCGGUAAUACGUAGGGGGCAAGCGUUAUCCGGAUUUACUGGGUGUAAAGGGAGCGUAGACGGUCCUGCAAGCCAGAUGUGAAAGCCCGGGGCUCAACCCCGGGACUGCAUUUGGAACUGUUUUUCUUGAGUACCGGAGAGGUCAUCGGAAUUCCUUGUGUAGCGGUGAAAUGCGUAGAUAUAAGGAAGAACACCAGUGGCGAAGGCGGAUGACUGGACGGCAACUGACGGUGAGGCGCGAAAGCGUGGGGAGCAAACAGGAUUAGAUACCCGGGUAGUC